CCUACGGGUGGCUGCAGUGGGGAAUUUUGGACAAUGGGCGCAAGCCUGAUCCAGCCAUGCCGCGUGCAGGAUGAAGGCCUUCGGGUUGUAAACUGCUUUUGUACGGAACGAAAAAGCUCUCUCUAAUACAGGGGGUGAAUGACGGUACCGUAAGAAUAAGCACCGGCUAACUACGUGCCAGCAGCCGCGGUAAUACGUAGGGGGCAAGCGUUAAUCGGAAUUACUGGGCGCGGAGAGUGCGCAGGCGGUUGAAAUCCCCGGGCUCAACCUGGGAACUGCCUUUGUGACUGCAUAGCUGGAGUGCGGCAGAGGGGGAUGGAAUUCCGCGUGUAGCAGUGAAAUGCGUAGAUAUGCGGAGGAACACCGAUGGCGAAGGCAAUCCCCUGGGCCUGCACUGACGCUCAUGCACGAAAGCGUGGGGAGCAAACAGGAUUAGAUACCCCGGUAGUC
rnacentral:rRNA from 1 species